rnacentral:lncRNA from 1 species
UUUUGGCUGAGUUCAUAAAGUUCAAAUUCAAAUUUAAAUUUAAACAAAUUCUAAAUGCACAUUCAAAAUUCCAAUAUGAUGCAAAGUAUAUUUAUUUAUUAUUCCUAUUUCUCUAAAUAAACAUGCUUCAACACAUAAAGAAUGAAUCAUACAAUUAAAUAAUUAAGUACCCUUCUUGUAUUAUUAAAUAGAGUUAGUAAUAACUUAUUUCAAGAUUUAAAUGUUUAUUACCAUGAAAUCUUCAUGAGACAACACUUUCGUAUAAUUAUUUAGAGAAUAGUUUAAAGCAUAAGAUUUAAUGUUUAAUUAUUUAAGUCCCUAGAGGUUCUUUUCAUCGAUUACCUUGCUUCAAAACACAAGAAUUUAAUAUCUUGAGAAAUCUUUCCAAAUUUACCAGGAAUAUAAUUUUAGGUUGUUACAAUUUUGGUGAUUAAGUGUCCAACACAUAUUAAGUGGGUUAUUAUAUGCCAAAUGAUGAAUGAAGUGCAAAUCAACAAGAAGGUAUGUUUCUAGACUUAGUACAUUUGUUUUGGGUACUAAUGAAGUUACCUAAGUGCUAGAAACAGGAAAAGAAAAAGAUUGGAAGAGAGUGCCUGUGUGCAGCCAAGACUCAGCACAGUCUGGCACAACGGACUGUCCGGUGGUGCACCGGACAGUGUCCGGUGCGCUAGGCUGGUCUCCGGCAAACUGGUCACUCUCGAGAAACUUUGGUGGCGUACGGCUAUAAUUCACCGGACUAUCUGGUGGUGCACCGGACUGUCCGGUGAGCCAACGGCCGCCAGCGCAACAGUCGGUCGCCAAAUCCGCGGGCGACGCGUGGCCUGCUCCAACGGUCGAUAGGGGGCACCGGACAGUGUCCGGUGCGCCAACCAGCCCAAAGUUGCAACGAUCGGUUGCGCCAGGAAUGGAAGGAAAUCGCGCACCAGACAUGAACAGUGGUUGUCCGGUGGCACACCGGACUGUCCGGUGCGCCACCCGACAGAAGGUAAGAUUAGCCAUCCAAGAAUGUCUCCAACGGCUCCUAGCUGCCUUAGGGCUAUAAAAGGGACCCCUAGGCGCAUGGAAGAGUUACCCAAGCAUACUUUGAGCAUUCUAAGUCCCACACUCCGUCUCCGCGCACUUGAUUGACUUUGUUAGUGAUUUGAGCUCUGUUCUAGUAGUGAACUCGUUGUGCUUCAUUCGAGCUCAAGUCUUGGCUUGUGUGUGUGCGUAUUGCCGCAGAUUUGUGUGUGUUGCUUCCCACCCUUACUCUUGUGCUUUCACCGUGAUCUUUAUUGUAAGGGCGAGAGACUCCAACUUGUGGAGAUUCCUCGCGAACGGGAAAAGUGAUAAGUAAAGAAAAGCCGUGGUAUUCAAGUUGAUCAUUGGAUCACUUGAAAGGGGUUGAGUGCAACCCUCGUCCAUUGGGACGCCACAACGUGGAGGUAGGCAAGUGUUAUACUUGCCGAACCACAGGAUAAACCCGCGUGUCUUUUGUGAUUGUUUUUCCUUGAUACUUGUAUUCGCAAAAGCUCUCUACUUAGUCAUACUAACGCUUAACCAAGUUUCGUGGCUAUUAGUUGUUGAAUUUUACAGGAUCACCUAUUCACCCCCCUCUAGGUGCUCUCAAUUGGUAUCGGAGUCGUUCUCUUCACAAAAGGGACUAAUCGCCCAAAGAGAUGGAUUCUAAGGGAAAGGGGAUGGUGGUCAACGACAAGGAGAAGGAGUCCUUCCUCAACAAGCCAAGGGACGACAAGCCCACUGACUCUAGCUCGAGUCAUAAGAAGAAGGACGGGAAGAAGAAGAGGCGCAUCAAGAAGAUCGUCUACUACGACAGCGACGAGUCUUUUUCUUCCCCAAGAGACAACGACUACGACGAGAAAAAGAAACCGGUUAACUCAAAAUUUUCAUUUGAUUAUUCUUGUAUUCCUUAUAAUUCCAAUGCUCAUUUGCUUUCCAUUCCUCUUGGUAAACCUCCACACUUUGAUGGAGAGGACUAUGCUUUUUGGAGUCACAAAAUGCGUAGUCACUUAUUUUCUCUCCAUCCUAGUAUAUGGGAAAUAGUAGAAAAUGGAAUGCAAUUCGACAGUACCGAAAACCCCGUGUUUAUCAAUGAGCAAAUCCAUAAGAAUGCACAAGCUACCACUGUUGUGCUAGCAUCCUUGUGCAGGGACGAGUACAACAAGGUGAGCGGCUUGGACAACGCCAAGCAAAUAUGGGACACCCUCAAGAUAUCGCAUGAGGGGAACGACGCCACCAUGAUCACCAAAAUGGAGUUGGUGGAAGGUGAGCUAGGAAGGUUUGCCAUGAUCAGGGGAGAGGAGCCAACGCAAACGUACAACAGGCUCAAGACCCAGGUCAACAAGAUCAGGAGCUAUGGAAGCACGAGAUAGACGGACCACGAUGUCGUCCGACUUAUGCUCAGGUCCUUCACUGUUAUUGAUCCUCAUCUUGUGAACCUCAUUCGUGAAAAUCCCAGGUACACAAAGAUGACUACCGAGGAGAUUCUUGGGAAGUUUGUGAGCGGGAGGAUGAUGGUAAAGGAAGCGUGAUACGUGGAUGAUGCUCUCAAUGGCCCUCUACUCGUCUACGAGCCUCAACCCGUUGCUCUCAAAGCAACAAGCAGCAGGGAGGCGCUACCUAGCAAGGUGGCACAAGUUGAGGCGGCCAGGCUAAACGAGGAUGAGAUGGCCCUAAUCAUAAAGCGCUUCAAGACCGCAUUGAAAGGACGCAAGGAGUACCCUAACAAGAACAAAGCAAAGAGAAAGCGCUCCUGCUUCAAGUGUGGUAAGACUGGUCAUUUUAUAGCAAAUUGUCCCGAUAACUCUAGUGACCAGGAACAAGGAAAGGGCGGGAAGAAAGAGAAGAAAAAGAGCUAUAGGAAGGCAAAGGGCGAGGCACACAUUGGAAAGGAAUGGGACUCGGACUGCUCAUCUUCCGAUUUCGACGACGAAGGACUCGCUGCCUCAGCCUUCAACAAGUCCAAUCUCUUCCCCAACGAACGCCACACCUGCCUCAUGGCAAAGGAGAAAAAGGUAAACGUUCGUGAAACCCCUAAGUAUACUACUUCAAGCGAUGAUGAAUCUAGUGAUGAUGAAGUAGACUAUACUGAAUUAUUUAAGGGUUUAGAUAGAUCAAAAGUAGAUAAAAUUAAUGAGUUAAUUGAUGCUUUAAACAAAAAGGAUAGACUUUUAGAAAAGCAAGAGGAUAUAUUGUAUGAAGAGCAUGAUAAACUUGUUAGUGCACAAAAGUCUCUUGUUUUAGAAACUAAAAGAAAUGAAUUGUUAUCCUCUGAAUUAUCCGUGUGCCAUGAAUCAAUCUCUUGUUUAAAGAUUUUGAAUGAUGAUUUAAAUAAUAAGCUAGAAGUAGCUAAUAAAUCUAGUUCAUGUGUAGAACAUGUUGUAAUUUGUAAUAGAUGUAAGGACUUUGAUUUUAAUGCUUGUAAUGAACAUCUCAUUGCUAUUAUAAAAUUGAAUGAUGAAGUGGCAAGUCUUAAUGCUAAACUUAAGACUUGCAAAAGUGACUUUGAUAAGUUAAAAUUUGCUAGGGAUGCCUACACGGUUGGUAGACACCCCUCAAUUAAGGAUGGGCUUGGCUUUCGGAAGGAAGCCAAGAACUUAACAAGCCAAAGGGCUCCCACUCUCAACAAGGAGAAAGGGAAGGCCCCUAUGGCUAGUAGCAUUCAAAGGAAUCAUGCGUUCAUUUAUGAUAGAAAAUUUUCUAGGAAUGCUCAUUAUAACAGGAGUUAUGAUGAUUAUGAUUCACAUGCUAUGAUUGCUUCAAGUUAUACUUUUGUGCAUGGUAGAAGUAGGCCUAGGAAGGGAAAUGUUAUUCAUCAUGUGCCUAGGAAAAUGCAUAAUGAAUCUGCUACUGUUUUUUAUGCCUGCAACACUGAUUUUGUAGUUUCAUGUAAAAAUAAGAAAGUGGUUGCUAGGAAGUUGGGGGCCAAAUGUAAGCGAGACAAGACAUGCAUUUGGGUCCCAAAGGAUAUUGUGACUAACCUUGUAGGACCCAACAAGAGUUGGGUACCUAAAACCCAAGCGUAAAUUGUCUUGCAGGUUUAUGCAUCCGAGGGCUCAAGCUGGAUUAUCGACAGUGGAUGCACAAACCACAUGACGGGGGAGAAGAAGAUGUUCACCUCCUACGUCAAGAACAAGGAUUCCUAGGAUACGAUUAUCUUUGGAGAUGGGAACCAAGGCAAGGUCAAAGGCUUGGGCAAGAUAGCCAUCACAAAUGAGCACUCUAUCUCUAAUGUAUUUUUAGUAGAGUCGCUAGGCUAUAAUCUCCUGUCUGUUAGUCAAUUAUGCCACAUGGGAUACAAUUGUUUGUUUACAAAUGUUGAUGUAUCUGUCAUUAGAAGGAGUGAUGGUUCAUUAGCGUUUAAGGGUGUACUAGAUGGCAAACUCUACUUAGUUGAUUUUUCGAAAGAGGAGGCCGAUCUAGAUGCAUGCUUAAUCGCUAAGACUAGUAUGGGCUGGCUGUAGCAUCGUCGUCUAGCACAUGUUGGGAUGAAGAACCUUCACAAACUUCUAAACGGAGAUCAUGUGUUAGGACUAACCAAUGUAUGCUUCGAAAAAGAUAGACCUUGUGCAGCGUGUCAGGCAGGAAAACAAGUGGGAAGCACUCAUCACAACAAAAAUGUGAUGACGACAUCAAGACCAGUGGAGCUACUACAUAUGGACCUCUUCGGACCCGUCGCCUACCUUAGCAUCGGGGGAAGUAAGUAUGGUCUUGUUGUUGUUGAUGAUUUUUCCCGCUUCACUUGGGUAUUCUUUUUACAGGAUAAAUCAGAAACCCAAGGGACCCUCAAGCGCUUUAUAAGGCAAGCUCAAAACGAAUUUGAGCUCAAAGUGAAAAAGAUUAGAAGCGACAACGGGUCCGAGUUCAAGAAUUUUCAAGUGGAGGAGUACCUUGAGGAGAAAGGAAUCAAGCACGAGUUCUCCGCUCCCUACACACCAUAGCAAAACGGUGUGGUAGAGAGGAAGAACAGGACGCUGCUUGGAGAAUUCAAGACGCCCGAGCGGUUUUGGUCGGAAGCUGUGAACACAGCUUGCCACGCCAUAAACUGGCUCUACCUUCAUCGCCUCCUCAAGAAGACCUUGUAUGAACUUCUGACUGGUAACAAACCCAAUGUCUCAUACUUUCGUGUAUUUGGGAGUAAAUGUUACAUUCUAGUGAAGAAAGGUAGAAACUCUAAAUUUGCUCCCGAAGUUGUAGAAGGGUUUUUGCUAGGUUAUGACUCAAAUACAAAGGCGUAUAGAGUCUUCAACAAAUCAUCGGGUUUGGUUGAAGUCUCUAGCGACGUUGUAUUUGAUGAAACUAAUGGCUCUCCAAGAGAGCAAGUUGAUCUUGAUGAUGUAUAUGAAGAUGACGUUCCAACGGACGCAACUCGCACCAUGACGAUUGGAGACGUGCGACCACAGGAACAACAAGAGCAAGAUCAACCUUCUUCUUCAACAAUGGUGCACCCCCCAACUCAAGAUGAUGAACAGGUUCUUCAAGAGGAGGCGUGUGAUCAAUGGGGAGCACAAGAAGAUCAAGUUAUGGAGGAAGAAGCACCACGGGCCCCUCCAACUCAAGUCCGAGCAACGAUUCAAAGGAAUCAUCCCGUCGACCAGAUUCUAGGGGAUAUAAGCAAGGGAGUAACUACUCGCUCAAGACUACCUAACUUUUGUGAGCAUUACUCGUUUGUCUCUUCUAUUGAGCCUUUUAGGGUAGAAGAGGCCUUGCAAGAUCCGGACUGGGUGUUGGCCAUGCAGGAAGAGCUCAACAACUUCAAGAGGAAUGAAGUUUGGAGCCUAGUGCCACGUCCCAAGUAAAACGUUGUGGGAACCAAGUGGGUGUUCCGCAACAAGCAAGACGAGCACGGGGUGGUAACAAGGAACAAGGCUCGACUUGUGGCAAAAGGUUAUGCCCAAGUCGCAGGUUUGGAUUUUGAGGAGACUUUUGCUCCUGUGGCUAGGCUAGAGUCUAUUCGCAUUUUGUUAGCCUAUGCCGCUCACCACUCUUUCAGGUUGUUCCAAAUGGAUGUGAAGAGCGCUUUCCUCAACGGGCCAAUCAAGGAGGAGGUGUAUGUGGAGCAACCCCCUGGCUUUGAGGAUGAACGGUACCCCGACCAUGUGUGUAAGCUCUCUAAGGCGCUCUAUGGACGUAAGCAAGCCCCAAGAGCAUGGUAUGAAUGCCUUAGAAAUUUUCUAAUUGCUAAUGCUUUCAAGGUUGGGAAAGCCGAUCCAACUCUUUUCACUAAGACUUGUGAUGGUGACCUAUUUGUGUGCUAAAUUUAUGUUGAUGACAUAAUAUUUGGUUCUACUAACCAAAAGUCUUGUGAGCAGUUUAGCAGGGUGAUGACACAGAAAUUUGAGAUGUCGAUGAUGGGCGAGUUGAACUACUUCCUUGGGUUCCAAGUGAAGCAACUAAAGGACGACACCUUCAUCUCCCAAACGAAGUACACUCAAGAUCUUCUCAAGCGGUUUGGGAUGAAGGACGCCAAGCUCGUGAAGACACCAAUGGGAACCGAUGGACAUAUCGACCUUAACAAAGGAGGUAAGUCCGUUGAUUAAAAGGCAUACCGGUCUAUGAUAGGAUCCUUGCUUUAUUUAUGUGCUAGUAGACCGGAUAUUAUGCUUAGUGUAUGCAUGUGUGCUAGUUUUCAAUCCGAUCAAAGGGAGUGUCAACUUGUGGCCGUUAAGCGAAUUCUUAGAUAUUUAGUUGCUACGCCUUGCUUCGGGAUCUGGUAUCCAAAGGGGUCUACCUUUGACUUGAUUGGAUAUUCAGACUUCGAUUAUGCUGGAUGCAAGGUUGAUAGGAAGAGUACAUCAGGGACGUACCAAUUCCUAGGAAGGUCCCUGGUGUCUUGGAGUUCUAAGAAACAAACCUCCGUUGCCGUAUCCACCGCUGAGGCCGAGUACGUUGACGCAGGACAGUGUUGCGCGCAACUACUUUGGAUGAGGCCAACCCUCCGGGACUUUGGCUACAAUUUGAGCAAAGUCCCACUCCUAUGUGACAAUGAGAGUGCAAUUCGCAUGGUAGAUAAUCCCGUUGAACACAGCCGCACUAAGCACAUAGACAUCCGGCAUCACUUCCUGAGAGACCACCAGCAAAAGGGAGAUAUCGAAGUGUUCUAUAUUAGCACCGAGAACCAGCUAGCCGAUAUCUUUACCAAGCCUUUAGAUGAGAAAACCUUUUGCAGGCUGCGUAGUGAGCUAAAUGUCUUAGAUUCGCGUAACUUGGAUUGAUUUAUAGCAUACAUGUGUUUUAUGCCAUUGAUCAAGUUACUUAAUGCAUUUAUGAGAUUUAUUGGUUAUUUAUGGUGCUCAAGUUGUGCAAGGGAUCCCCGGACCUUACAAGUCCAUGUGUGAAUGAUGCACAUAUUUAGGGGGAGAAGUGCUACAACUUGACUCUUUGAGACUAACAUUUGUGUUGAGUUUACUUAAUGUAGCCUCAAAGGUGAAUUGAAAGGGAAGUGUGAACUUGUACCAUGCAAAGACUUCCACUGCACUCCGGUAUUAACUCCAAGUUCAUAUCUACGCUCUUAUUGCCUUUUUGCUCCUAAUUGACAAUUUUGGUAAGGCAAUGGGGUUCAGGGGCCAAGAAUGAUCCUGUUUUGGUGCUUAAUGCCAAAGGGGGAGAAAUUAAGGCCAAAGCAAAUGGAUCAGCUACCACUUAAGAAUUUUGAAAAUAGUAGAGUUAGAACUUUUGAUUUGUCAAAAUACUCUUAUUUUGGUCUCUUCUGGGGAGAAUGUUUGAUUAUGGGAAAAAGGGGGAGUUUUUGGCUCUUAAUCAUUUUUACUCUUGGAUUAUCUUUCUUUAUGCCCAAACAAGUGUGUUUGACUUAGAGAUAGGAAAAUGAUUUUGAUUUGCAAAAACAAACCAAGUGGUGGCAAAGAACGAUCCAAAUAUGCCAAAUCUUGUCAAAGACUAUUUUUGUUCUCAAUUGCAUUGAUGUUGCACUUCUAUUUGUUGCUUUUUGAUGUGUUGGCAUAAAUCACUAAAAAGGGGGAGAUUGAAAGGGAAAUGUGCCCUUGGGCCAUUUCUAGUAUACUUUGGUGAUUAAGUGUCCAACACAUAUUAAUUGGGUUAUUAUAUGCCAAAUGAUGAAUGAAGUGCAAAUCAACAAGAAGGUAUGUUUCUAGA